ACUUGGCACAUUUUACGUCGAGAUCUUAAAUUGGAAACGUACAAAAUAAAGCUUGUGCAAGACCUGAGGCUUUUCAACACUCCCAAGCGACAUCGCUUCGCGAUCCCACGUUUUCGAACCAAAUUUUCUUCAGCGAUGAGGUCCAUUUCGGGCUCAAUGUCUGUGUAAACAAACAAAAUCGCCACGUUUGGGACGUAGAGCAGCCUGAAGAGAUUCAAGAGCUGUCAUUUUAUCCAGAAAAAAUUAACGAUUUGGUGUUGUUUGUGGGUGCCUGAAAUCAUCGUCAUAUUUCUCAAAAAAGUGACGUAACCGUUAAUGGCGAUCGUUAUUGAGAAAUGAAAACCGAUCUUUGGAUGGAUAUUUUGGAUUUGUUGGUAUAACACUUCGGAAAGCAGAUAGUUACACGGUUUUGUCCAGUCGAUUGAUCACCAAGAUAGUAUUAUAUCACCCCGUUAUACUUUUUGAUGUGGAGAUAUGUGGAGUCUAAAGUAUAUGCGGACAGUCCCGCUUCGAUUCAAUUCUCGAAGAAAAACAUCACGCGUAUCUUUCUCCAGUUACCUGUCGAAAUGCUCGAACGAGUCAUCGAAAAUUGAACUCCACGGAUGGACCGUCUAAGACGUAGCCGCGGCCAAAAUUUAAAAGAAAUAAUUUUCAAAAAACAAAUGGCAAAGUAUGUUCUUUCGAAUGAUAAUAAACAUUCCCCACUAAAUUUGAAGUUUCUGUGUUUUUUCUUAAAAAAAAGUAGGAAACCUCGACUAACACACGACUCUAAACAUCUGAAACUAAUAAGACUACCCUAGUAUUUAUUAAUAAAUAUGUACAAAAGUAUUUUUGUUGAGAAUUAUUGAAGCCGGUUUCGACAAACUAGCAUUGCCAUCGUCUAAGGUCAGUUACUUUGACAAAUGUGACAUAGUGCAUUGCUGAUAACGAAAGUAUCGCACCGAAGCUAUAAUUAAAUCAAAAAUUAUUAUAUUUUAUGAGUGAUUUUCAUGUGUGUUAGUGCGCAAUUAUUGAUUAUUUCUUUGACAUUAUGAUGAAGCUAAGCAAAUGUGCAUAGUCUAGUCUAAUCGUGCUGAUUUACAAGCACACGUUGUGCGGUCGCCAUAGAAAUAGAGAGUGCGCAUUAUUAGAACAUAAACUCACGUGUGUGUAUGUGUGCUUAUUACAAAAAUUGGCACAUUAAAUUAAUCUUAAAGAUUCAAGGACAAAACCUUGACUAUGAAACAAUGGACCCAACGACAACGUAGUCGUGUGUGAGCGUGACGUCAAUUUACUUUGUUUUGUUUUAAAAUUUGCGUAGAAUUUUUUGCUUAGAAAAUAGAGAGAGAGAGAGAUGGUAGAUUUGAAGUAGAGUAUAGAGCCGCAGAAAUGUUACUGAAGACAAGCAGUUUUAUUGCUAAAAAAUUCUUGCUCUAAAAAUUCUUUUCUUUAUUAGUUUAAGACGGUUGAUCUCAUAUAAUUGUUUGGUGCAUUGGUACUAUCUGAUUAAUUUAGAAUCUUAAUGGUUUUAUGACGACCUGAUUAGCUGACUUAGGUUACAUUUUUUGUUCUUAAUUCCUUCUUAUUCCUUAUACAGCCCAUAUACUUGAUAAGUUCCCGAAGAUGGCAUGAAAAUCGGAUCGUAUGUUCGGAACGGAAGAAGAGAUUGGGAUAUUGCUACUUAUAUAUGUUGGAAUAUACUUUGACUAUCGGUUAGGAACUCUAAAUAUGAACUUUUUCUGAGUGGGAAAACACGAUAGAGUUUAUUGUUUACGAAGGAUUUGAGGUUUUAUAUAUUCAUCGACGGAAAAUAUGUCGUCUUGAACGGUUAAUGUGCAUAUUCAAGUGCUGAAAUUUUAAGUUGAUACUCUUGUUAAAAUUGUUAGUUCUUUACUAAACCCACUGAGUUGCUGGAUAAGGUUUAAUUUGUUACCACUCAUAAUUAACCAAAGUACUAAAGAUAAUUAUUCAAAAAUCGGUUACGCCAGAAAAUCACAUGGAAGACUCCAACGCUUUGCUUAUAAGGUUGCAUCUUACAUAGCAAAGAUCUCUGUAUGUAAUGUUGAAAACGAUCUACGUUUUUAUGCGUUUUUAAAUCCACUGGAAGAACUAUAGUUUUUUCCAACACAGCCUACGAGCAAAUGUAGACACAAAUUUAUGGACUUAUGAAUCAAACUAGCUUUAUCGAAUGAUUUUCGCUAAAUCGAUUUCAAAUCAUACCAUCCAAAUCGAAGGAUAUCUAUGUCCAAAGGCCUCCGAGAUAGAGAGUUCACUGGAGAAAGGGGAAGUCAUGCCUUGCGCCUUUUUGGAUAUUGAGGGAGCUUUUGACAACACUUCUCAUAGAAGUGUAGCAAUGGCAUUGGAGGGUAGAAAUGUGGCAGCACCGGUGCGUAGAUGGAUAGAGGCGGUAUUGCGCACCAGGAUAGUUGAGACCAUAGCAGGGGGCACAAAGAUUCGCCUAGGCACAACAAGAGGCUGUCCGCAGGGUGGUGUACUAUCGCCCCUGCUAUGGAGCCUUGGCGUUGGCGACCUGUUAGCACUGCUAACCGACAACGGCAUCCGCUGCCAAGGAUGGUGUACAAUCGGCUGGUGUGCAAUCGGCUGGCAGGAAAAUCCUGGGGUUGCAAGCCAAGGAUUGUUAGGUGGUUGUAUAUUGUGCGACCGAUAGUCACAUAUGGAGCAGUGUCCUGGGCCUCUGUGGCGGCACAGGCCUCGGUGGUGAUGAAACUAUCGAGGCUUCAGCGGCUAGCAUUCGUCUGCAUGACGGGCGCUAUGCGAACCUGCCCAACAACGGCGCUGGAGGUUCUGCUGGAACUCACGCCGCUCCACAUAGUGAUCGGCCAAGUAGCCAAGCAUUCACUUCUGCAAAUAACGGCAGAGGGAUGCGGUAAAGGAAAAAUAAUCUCGUCCCAGAGGAUGGAGCUGGUAAGUGGCAACAAUCCAAUUGCCCUCCUCCCGAAGGACGGGGUUACAAAAACAAUAAACUUCACGAGGAAGUUCAAGGUUACCCUUGGCAGCAAGAGCGAGUGGAAUGACUCCACCCUUGAGUUGAUGCUGAGGGAUAGUACACUGAAGUGGUACACUGACGGCUCGAAGACGUCGGAAGGUAUUGGUGCAGGGAUCGCGGGCCCACGCACAAGGUUGUCCAUACCGAUGGGCAGAUUCCUCAGUAUCUUCCAGGCCGAAGUCUUAGCCAUAAGUCGGUGUAUAGAGAUUAACCUUCAUCGCGGCUAUUGUAAUGAGCGAAUAACCAUACUCAGCGAUAGCCAAGCGGCACUAAAAGCGGCCUCCGCCUACGAGAUCAAAACGCUGCUAGUGCAGGAGUGUAGAGAACGGCUAAACAGCCUAGCGGAAUUGAAUCAGGUGCACCUAAUAUGGGUACCUGCUCAUAGAGGCAUAGCCGGAAAUGAACUGGCUGACGAGCUCGCCCGCUCUGCAGCCUCCAUAAAUAUGGUAGGGCCCGAACCGUUCACUGGGGUGGGCUCCCACACUAUAAAGGAGCUGCUCCGUAAGGAAGAAAGAGAGGGCAGAGAAGGUGACUGGCAACGGGCACAUGGUAUGCGGCAUGCCAAGUUGCUGUUAGGGAGGUACAACCACAAAAGGUUUAAAUCGAUUAUCAACCUCCCAAGGAUCAAACUCAGGCUCUUGGCCGCAUUCUACACCGGCCACUGCAAGUUGAAAAGGCACCUGUUCAACCUAGGACUUGCCUCUUGCUCUAACUGCCGGUUCUGCGACAGAGAACCUGAAACCCCGGAGCACCUGCUAAUCGACUGCAUUGCAGUCUGCAGACGCAGGCCUAAUGCCCUUGGAAUUACAUUUCCGAAUAGGGAUCACAUCGACUCACUACCUCCCAGCAAAAUACUAAAAUUCAUCGAUUUUUUGGGGCUUGGUGAGUCUCUGUGAGUUAGGAGAGGGCACAAUAGACCUAAGGUCGCAGUGCAUACCUCGAUUAAUUCUAUUGUCUAUGUCCAAAGUACGGUUAAACAAUCAUAUAACAUGAACAAAGUUGAAAGCAAUCUUCAAUACUGUUUCCAAACUCAGCACUAUAAAGCAUGUAUAAUCGGCGCCAACCUACGGUAGUCGAAAAAGUCUUUUCGUAUUUUGUCAAUAGAUGUCGUUGCCUCAUACAUAUAUCUCCAGUACAUUGUAUCAUACGAUAUAGUAUAAAGUGUGGAUUUUGUACUGAAAUGUCAGUACGACGCUUUCAAAUUUUUAAGAUUUCAAUUUUCAACGAUUUAUAUUCAUUGAUAACUACACACAUAGCUGCAUUUAUAUAAGUGUAUAAGCGAUUACACACACAUAUGUAUUUUCCAACAAACGAGUAUUUGCUUGCACUUGCUUAGAAUGUGUUCUAUGUUUUGGCCGAGUGCAUGCUGCGAGCGAGUCGUACGUCGUGCUAUCAGUGCGCCGAGCAUACAAAUACCUACACAUGCACAUUUGAGUAAUUAAGUUCUUAGAUAGAAGGCUCACGUGGAGAAAACAUACAUAUCUCUAAUAAAAUAACAUGUAUGAAGAUUAGAGCUGCAAAUUUAAAUUGGUUUUUAAAUAAAAACUCCAAACUUAGCCUAAACAACAAAGUGCUCUUAUAUAAUGCGGUCAUAAAGCCGAUUUGGAUGUAUGACAUUCAACUGUGGGGUACGACCUGUGCAACUAAUAUUGAUAUAUUACAAAGGUUUCAAUUAAAAAUGCUUAGAAUAAUCGCGUGUUCGCCGUGGUACAUGCGAAACGAAAAUAUCCAAAAUGACCUUGGUAUUCCUUUGGUAAAGAAAGAAGUAGAAGAUAACAGAAUCAAAUAUAUGUAUAACUAAACUCCGAAAUCACCCAAACCAAAUCGAUCAAACACGACUUAAAAGAAGAGACAUGCCUGCGUAUUAAAGAGCGACGUAUCACCAAAACAGCUCUAUCACUUGCUUGAGUCUGUCUAGUUUUUAAAUAGAUUUAAGAUUUUAUGACUUAUUGUUAGGCUUUAAGAGAAAGCAGAUCCAAUAAAUAAAAUAAUUGUGAAAAAAAAAUAAAUAAAAUAUUUGAUUAUAUGUCUA